rnacentral:rRNA from 1 species
CUUCGGGUUGUAAAGCUCUUUCGGCGGGGAAGAAAUUGCUUGGGCUAAUACCCUGAGUAGAUGACGGUACCCGAAUAAGAAGCACCGGCUAACUACGUGCCAGCAGCCGCGGUAAUACGUAGGGUGCGAGCGUUAAUCGGAAUUACUGGGCGUAAAGCGUGCGCAGGCGGUUUUGUAAGUCAGAUGUGAAAUCCCCGGGCUCAACCUGGGAACUGCAUUUGAGACUGCAAGACUGGAGUUUGGCAGAGGGA